GCUUGGGAACAUGCCUUGAGGUGGGGGACAACAGUUGGAAACGACUGCUAAUACCGCAUAAUGUCUACGGACCAAAGGGGGCUUCGGCUCUCGCCUUUANAUUGGCCCAAGUGGGAUUAGCUAGUUGGUGAGGUAAUGGCUCACCAAGGCAACGAUCCCUAGCUGGUUUGAGAGGAUGAUCAGCCACACUGGAACUGAGACACGGUCCAGACUCCUACGGGAGGCAGCAGUGGGGAAUAUUGCACAAUGGGCGAAAGCCUGAUGCAGCCAUGCCGCGUGUGUGAAGAAGGCCUUCGGGUUGUAAAGCACUUUCAGUCAGGAGGAAAGGGUGUGAGUUAAUACCUCAUAUCUGUGACGUUACUGACAGAAGAAGCACCGGCUAACUCCGUGCCAGCAGCCGCGGUAAUACGGAGGGUGCGAGCGUUAAUCGGAAUUACUGGGCGUAAAGCGUACGCAGGCGGUUUGUUAAGCGAGAUGUGNAAGCCCCGGGCUCAACCUGGGAACUGCAUUUCGAACUGGCAAACUANANUGUGAUAGAGGGUGGUAGAAUUUCNGGUGUAGCGGUGAAAUGCGUANAGAUCUGAAGGAAUACCGAUGGCGAAGGCAGCCACCUGGGUCNNNCUGACGCUCAUGUACGAAAGCGUGGGGAGCNAACGGGAUNANAUACCCCGNUAGNCCACGCCGUAAACNAUGUCUACUANAANCUCGGAA
rnacentral:rRNA from 1 species